GUCCACGCCCUAAACGAUGUCGACUGGUUGUUGGGGGUUUGACACUCUCAGUAACGAAGCUAACGCGUGAAGUCGACCGCCUGGGGAGUACGGCCGCAAGGUUAAAACUCAAAGGAAUUGACGGGGACCCGCACAAGCGGUGGAUUAUGUGGAUUAAUUCGAUGCAACGCGAAAACCUUACCUACCCUUGACAUGUCCGAGAGCCCGAUGAGAGUUGGGUGUGCCCGAAAGGGAAUCGGAACACAGGUGCUGCAUGGCUGUCGU
rnacentral:rRNA from 1 species